CCUACGGGCGGCAGCAGCGGGGAAUAUUGCACAAUGGGCGCAAGCCUGAUGCAGCCAUGCCGCGUGUAUGAAGAAGGCCUUCGGGUUGUAAAGUACUUUCAGCGAGGAAGAAGGCAUCAAGGUUAAUAACCUUGGUGAUUGACGUUACUCGCAGAAGAAGCACCGGCUAACUCCGUGCCAGCAGCCGCGGUAAUACGGAGGGUGCAAGCGUUAAUCGGAAUUACUGGGCGUAAAGCGCACGCAGGCGGUCUGUCAAGUCGGAUGUGAAAUCCCCGGGCUCAACCUGGGAACUGCAUUCGAAACUGGCAGGCUAGAGUCUUGUAGAGGGGGGUAGAAUUCCAGGUGUAGCGGUGAUAUGCGUAGAGAUCUGGAGGAAUACCGGUGGCGAAGGUGGCCCCCUGGACAAAGACUGACGCUCAGGUGCGAAAGCGUGGGGAGCAAACAGGAUUAGAUACCCUCGUAGUC
rnacentral:rRNA from 1 species